GACAGAGGGUGCAAACGUUGUUCGGAAUUACUGGGCGUAAAGCGCACGUAGGCGGAUUUGUAAGUCAGGGGUGAAAUCCCGGGGCUCAACCUCGGAACUGCCUUUGAUACUGCAAAUCUCGAGUCCGGAAGAGGUGAGUGGAAUUCCUAGUGUAGAGGUGAAAUUCGUAGAUAUUAGGAAGAACACCAGUGGCGAAGGCGGCUCACUGGACUGGUACUGACGCUGAGGCGCGAAAGCGUGGGGAGCAAACAGG
rnacentral:rRNA from 1 species